rnacentral:rRNA from 1 species
GACAGAGGGUGCAAACGUUGUUCGGAAUGACUGGGCGUAAAGCGCGUGUAGGCGGCUCGGCAAGUCGGAUGUGAAAGCCCUGGGCUCAACCCAGGAAGUGCACUCGAAACUGCCGAGCUGGAGUCCCGGAGAGGAAGGCGGAAUUCUCGGUGUAGAGGUGAAAUGCGUAGAUAUCGGGAGGAACGCCGGUGGCGAAAGCGGCAUGCUGGAUCCCUUCUGACGCUGAGGCGCGAAAGCCAGGGGAGCGAACGGG